ensembl:lncRNA
ACCUCUUGGUGUUUUCAGUUUCUACAAAGGACUUAGUACUUUUGUGAGAGAAAGAAUGUUAACUUUUACCUUCUAAAAUUAACAUAUUGUUUGUUUUCUUCAAACAUUCCUACCAAAUGCAGCUUGCUACAUACAUUGUGUGAUGGAAGAGAAGUGAAAGGGCUUUGUAAACUUCAGCUGGUUUUCUCCUCUCUAUCACAGAUGGCAUAGGUUUUGAGUGCUGCCCUCCACUCACGGACGCACUCAAACACAUCGUUCUACCUCCAGUACACUUAAGUAAAAGAGAACCCUAAGUACAGCAGCCUUUCACCAGCUCCCAUGCCAGUCCACACUCUACCCCUGGGACCCUGCCACCUCAAGCCAGCAAUGCAUCAUCUUCCCAGUGUAAGAAGAAAAGCAAAGGAGUUCCCAUGGUGGUGCAGUGGUUAAUGAAUCCGACUAGGAAAUAUGAGGUUGUGGGUUCAAUCCCUGGCCUUGCUCAGUGGGUUAAGGACCCGGCGUUGCUGUGAGCUGUGGUUGUAGGUCGCAGACGCAGCUCAGAUCUGGUGUUGCUGUGGCUCUGGUGUAGGUUAGCGGCUACAGCUCCGAUUGGACCCCUAGCCUGGGAAUCUCCAUAUGCCGCGGAGAACGGCCCUAGAAAAGGCAAAAAGACAAAAAAUUUUUAAAAAUUUAAAAAAAGAAGAAGAAGAAAAGCAAAAACAGAAGAGGAAACACCAGAAUAUAGAAGGAAGAGGGCUGCAUUUCAGGAACCAUGGCUUCUAUGGCUCUGGUCUCUCCAAGGCGCCCAGCCAGGGCUGGACCUGGAGAAGGCUUUGUUGCCAUCUAGUUGACUUUCCAAAUCAUCCCUUUUGAUUGGCAUCCAAAUUCACUAACCAAAGAAAUCCCAAAUUAAGUCAAAUAUUUCACAACCCUUAUAGGUUGCAAAAUAUUUGGAUGCACAUUUUCUCUCUUGACCUUCCCAACACAUCUGUGAGGAAAAUACCACCAUCUCCAUCACAAGGGUACAUAAGAAAAUUAGAUCUUGGAUAAUUGAAACACAUCAUUCAAGGCCAUACAUUUUACUAUAAAUAAUCCAGUUGGAUCUCAGUUAAUCAAAUUGUGUCUCAUGCCAGUUUUUUUUUUUUUAAACAAGUGACACCUAUUAAUGUCACUUAUGAUAUUAAUGUUUGCAGAUACUGCUUCACCCAUUAUUUCCAGACUCGGCUCCCAUUUUUAUUUUUGGUUUUUUUUUUAAUUUUAACAGUAGGAAUUAGAUAUCUAUUGGGAAUUAUUCACUCUUUUACACAUUUAUUGAGAGCCUACCAUGAAUCAAACACUGUUCCUUGCAACAGAGAGUUGUAGAAAAAGGAUGAAUUAUGUCCCUUACCUUUCUCACCCUCCUUUUUGCAGUAAAAAUGCAAGUGUCACAUCUCUCUCAUCUCUGUCCCUUCAUUAUCUCCCUUCUGGACUAUUUGAAUAGGUUCCUAGCUGGUCUCUGGCCUACGGCCCCACCCCACUUCCAUCUCUUUUACAGCAGUUCAGGGCCAUGCCUCUCUUGUGCUGUGACCCCUAUAUGUUCCACAUGGCUGCAAGAGAAAGAACUAAGCUUUAAGAUGGGCUUCAGGGACCCUCCAGGUCUAUUUCCUCCUUCUGCCCCCAUCUCUUGCCAUUCCCCCAGUGAUUCAGAAUGCUCUGGUGCCAAGCCACUCAGUUCUCCAGCCCAGUUGCUUUUCCUCAUUCCCAGUUUUGCCCAAAUAGCGCCCUCUGCUGAGCAUGCCCCUUCUUUAUUCUUGCCUAACCCAUUUCUAAUCAGCCUUAAAAAAAAAAAUCUCAGAUAUGUCCUUAGAAUGCUUUUCUUUUUUCUUUUUAAUUUUUUAUUAUAGUUGACUAUACACACACACAUAUAUAUAUUUUUUUAAAUAUUAUUUUCCAUCAUGGUCUAUCCUAAUAGACUAUAGUUCCUUGUGCUAUACAGUAGAAUCUUAUUGACUAUCCAUUCUAAAUGUAAUAGUUAACAUCUAUUAACCCCAAACUCCCAGUCCAUCCCACUUUCCCCAUUCCUUGACAACCACAAGUCUGUUCUCCAUCUCUGUGAGUCUGUUUCUAUUUUGUAGAUUACCAUUCUAGGUGACGUAAGCCAGAAAGAGAAGGACAAAUGCCCUAUAUGCAGAGUUAAAAUAUGACACAUAUGAACCUAUCUACAAAUUAGAAUGCUUUUCUGACUGUCUUCCUUGCAUC